rnacentral:rRNA from 1 species
AAUAAGCGGAGGAAAAGAAACCAACAGGGAUUCCCUUAGUAACGGCGAGUGAACCGGGAAAAGCUCAAAUUUGAAAUCUGCCAACAGGCCGAGUUGUAAUUUGUAGAUGGCUACACUGCAUAAUAGUAGAUGCUCAAGUUCUUUGGAAAAAGACAUCAUGGAGGGUGACAAUCCCGUGAGGCAUGUUACUAGGAGCAUAUAGUGGGCUUUCUAAGAGUCGAGUUGUUUGGGAAUGCAGCUCAAAGUGCGUGGUGAAUACCAUGUAAAGCUAAAUAUGGACGAGAGACCGAUAGCGAACAAGUACUGUGAAGGAAAGAUGAAAAGCACUCCGAAAGGAGAGUGAAAUAGUACGUGAAAUUGUUAAAGUGGAAGGGCUUGAGAUCAGAAUUGGUAGUUUGGGUUCCACGUCCUCUUGGGGGCGUGUACUCCCUUUCCACCGGGCCAGCGGGAGUUUCGUCUCUUGGGUAAAAGCAGUGGAAUGUAGCAGCUUGUCUGUAUUAUAGCCUCUGUUCAUACAAGACGUCGAGACUGA